GGGCCCGUAGCCCAGUGUGGAUUAAGGCGCCGGCCUUCGGAGCCGGAGAACGUGGGUUCAAAUCCCACCGGGCCCGCCA
rnacentral:tRNA from 1 species